rnacentral:misc_RNA from 1 species
GAUGAAGAACGCAGCGAAAUGCGAUACGUAAUGUGAAUCGCAGAAUUCAGUGAAUCAUCGAGUCUUUGAACGCACAUUGCGCCCCCUGGUAUUCCGGGGGGCAUGCCUGUCCGAGCGUCAUUGCUGCCCUCAAGCACGGCUUGUGUGUUGGGCCUCCGUCCUCCUCCCGGGGGACGGGCCCGAAAGGCAGCGGCGGCACCGCGUCCGGUCCUCGAGCGUAUGGGGCUUCGUCACCCGCUCUUGUAGGCCCGGCCGGCGCUUGCCGACACAUCAAUCUUUUUUCCAGGUUGACCUCGGAUCAGGUAGGGAUACCCGCUGAACUUAAGCAUAUCAAUAAGCGGAGGA